rnacentral:rRNA from 1 species
UACGUAGGCAGCAAGCGUUUGUUCGGAGUUACUGGGCGUAAAGAGUGUGUAGGCGGUUCUCUAAGUCUGGUGUGAAAUCUCCCGGCUCAACUGGGAGGGUGCAUUGGGAACUGGAGGGCUCGAGUAUGGGAGAGGAAAGCGGAAUUCCUGGUGUAGCGGUGAAAUGCGUAGAUAUCAGGAGGAACACCUGUGGUGUAGACGGCUUUCUGGACCAUCACUGACGCUGAGACACGAAAGCGUGGGGAGCAAACAGG